ACGUCAAGUCCUCAUGGCCCUUAUGUCCUGGGCUACACACGUGCUACAAUGGGCUGCACAAAAGGUUGCGAACUUGCGAAAGUAAGCCAAUCCCUAAAACAGUCCUCAGUUCAGAUUGGAGUCUGCAACUCGACUCCAUGAAGUUGGAAUCGCUAGUAAUCACAGAUCAGCAUGCUGUGGUGAAUACGUUCCCGGGCCUU
rnacentral:rRNA from 1 species